rnacentral:rRNA from 1 species
UACGUAGGUGGCGAGCGUUAUCCGGAAUUACUGGGCGUAAAGCGCAAGCAGGCGGUCUGUUAAGUUUGACGUAAAAUCUCCUGGCUUAACUGGGAGGGGUCGUUGGAGACUGGCAGACUUGAGGCGAUGAGAGGGGCAUGGAAUUCCCGGUGUAGUGGUGGAAUGCGUAGAGAUCGGGAGGAACACCAGAGGCGAAAGCGGUGCCCUGGCAUUGGCCUGACGCUGAGAUGCGAAAGCGUGGGGAGCAAACAGG